UAUCCCCCCCGAUUUAUCGGGGCUAAAGACUCCUCGAAGAUUACGAGGUUGAUAGGCUGUAAGUGUAAGUGCAGUAAUGUAUUCAGCUGAGCAGUACUAAUAGGUCGUGAGGCUUAACCAUUAAAUUUUUAUU
rnacentral:rRNA from 1 species